GAUGGCUCAGUGGUUAAGAGCACUGACUGUUCUUCCAGAGUUCCUGAGUUCAAAUCUCAGUC
rnacentral:tRNA from 1 species